rnacentral:rRNA from 1 species
CCCUUAGAUGUUCUGGGCAGCACGCGCGCUACAAUGGUCUUCGCAAACGGAUGCAUUCUCGAAGGAGAAUGCCAAUCUUGGAAUCUAUGCCUUGGUCGGGACAGUUGCUUGCAAUUUUUCGACUCGAACCAGGAAUUUCUUGUAAUCGUGAUUCAUCACAUCACGAUGAAUACGUCCCUGCCCUUUGUACACACCGCCCGUCGCUCCUACCGAUCGAAGAGUUAGGUGAAUUGUUUUGAUCGAUAAGAUUUGACUAUGGUCAACUCUCGUUGUGAAAUUCUGUGAAUCUGACUGUUUAGAGGAAGGAAAAGUCGUAACA